GCUGACGUCGCAUAACCUGGUAGUGCGCCGGUCUUGAAAACCGGUCCCACUGGGAUUGCAGGUUCAAAAGCUUUGGAAAGCUGGCGCUUUUCAAAAUUUGCCAGCAAAGCUGUCAAUCCUGCCGUCAGCG
rnacentral:tRNA from 1 species